UACGUAGGGUGCAAGCGUUAAUCGGAAUUACUGGGCGUAAAGCGUGCGCAAGCGGUUAUGCAAGACAGAUGUGAAAUCCCCGGGCUUAACCUGGGAACCGCAUUUGUGACUGCAUAGCUGGAGUACGGCAGAGGGGGAUGGAAUUCCGCGUGUAGCAGUGAAAUGCGUAGAUAUGCGGAGGAACACCGAUGGCGAAGGCAGUCCCCUGGGCCUGUACUGACGCUCAUGCACGAAAGCGUGGGGAGCAAACAGG
rnacentral:rRNA from 1 species